rnacentral:rRNA from 1 species
GAUGAACGCUGGCGGCGUGCCUAAUACAUGCAAGUCGAGCGAACGGACGAGAAGCUUGCUUCUCUGAUGUUAGCGGCGGACGGGUGAGUAACACGUGGAUAACCUACCUAUAAGACUGGGAUAACUUCGGGAAACCGGAGCUAAUACCGGAUAAUAUUUUGAACCGCAUGGUUCAAAAGUGAAAGACGGUCUUGCUGUCACUUAUAGAUGGAUCCGCGCUGCAUUAGCUAGUUGGUAAGGUAACGGCUUACCAAGGCAACGAUGCAUAGCCGACCUGAGAGGGUGAUCGGCCACACUGGAACUGAGACACGGGCCAGACUCCUACGGGAGGCAGCAGGAGGGAAUCUUCCGCAAUGGGCGGAAGCCUGACGGAGCAACGCCGCGGGAGGGAUGAAGGGCUUCGGAUCGUAAAACUCUGUUAUUAGGGAAGAACAUAUGUGUAAGUAACUGUGCACAUCCUGACGGUACCUAAUCAGAAAGCCACGGCUAACUACGGG